rnacentral:lncRNA from 1 species
AGAUUGUUGAGGUUAGUGAAAGACUUUUAUUCUUGUAAAUGAUAUUGGCCAUGGCCAAUACACAAUAAAUAUAUGUUUAGAUAUUUAUGUAUUCUUUUAAGAUAUGCCUUCAAAAACAAGACACUCACUUGAGGCAAAGUAUUUUCAUAGAGUGUAGAAUUGUUUUAACUCUUUAAUAUUUAGGCAAUAUUAAAGUUUAAAUAAUGGUUAGAAAUUAAUAAAAAAAACUUUAGAUACUAUAAAAAAAUGUUAUUAGUCAAUUUAAUUUUUUUUAUAGCUAUUAAUUUAAAAAAUAUAUAUUUUAACUUAGAUUUAGUAAAUUACUAAGGAAAUCUAUAAAAUUUCUUAGAAUUUUAUUAAUAUUAGGUAGAAUAGAUGGUGGUUACAUUCUCAUAUUAGAAUCUCUUUAUUAUAUUACUUCAUAUUGUUGAUGUAAGAGAUUUUAUUCUUAUUUACUUGAAGGAACUAUUAGUGCAAAAUAUAGUUUUUAGGAUUAUGAUUGUGGAUGGUGUAGUCAAAUUUAUGAUUAGAUAUAAUUCUAAAAUUCAAAAAUAAAAAAAUACCAUGAAAGAUAUUUUUUUUAUCUUUUAGAUUUAUUGGUGAUAUUUUUUAUUCUACAAGACUAAGGUUUUAUUCACUAUAUAAAAGAAAAAUAAGUAGAUUGCUCAAAAAAAAAGCUCUUUGGAAUUUAUUGAAUUAAUCAUGAAAAUAUAAGAAGGUGUCAUGUUAACAAUAGGGGGUAUUUUUUUACCAAUAAUAUAUAUAUAUAUAUAUAUAUAUAUAUAUAUAUAUAUAUAUUACCUUUGCUAAAAAAAUUCUAUUAAUUUUUGAUAAAUUAUAAAAAGAUGGAAAAACCAAUAUGAUUUUAUAAUGAUUAUGUUAUAUUUCUCCUAAGUUCUUAAUUAUGGCCUUGAUAGAAAAAUAUAACUUUAUAGAGGGAAAAAAAGUAGAGAUGGAAAAAAUAUAAGAGAAUACAAAUAGGUCUUUUUUGAAGAUGUUGUGAACAUCUCCACCUCUUUGUACUUGUUGAUGAUAAAUAAGCUCAACAUUUUAGCCAUUUAGCUAUCAUAGACAUAUACAUGUAAAUCAAUAAUUACCUAUAUGAUUAGAUAAAAGUAGAUGAAAGUAGAUUAAUUCCAUAAUAUCUUCUAUAAAAGCUUCAUAGAUAGUAUUUUGACUUUAUAGAUAUCUAUAAUUGACUUUUUAGAUUAGAAAUGGGCUUAAUAAGUUAGCUAUGUGCCACAUAUGUUGGUAGCUUGAAGACCAAGCUAACUAUGUGAUACAUAUAUAAAAAACUUGCUUUAUAAAUUAAAGCAUGUAUCUUACAAAGUCAACAUAUAUUAGAGGUCUUAUAGAACAUUGCCACAUAACUCUUAAUUUGAUAGUAUAUAUAGAGGUAAAAAUAAAGCCUUCUUUACUCUUGUCAACUCCUUUCUUGCUUCUAAUUUAGAUUUAAGAGUCUCUAAUUUCUUUGUCUUUUGGCAAUAGCCAUUUUAAUUUCUUUUUAAUAUACAUACUUCUUUAUUUUUAUUUUAUUAUACUUAUUUAUUUACUUUCAUAAAAUUUUUGUUCUUGAAAAAUUAAUAAGAGUAUAUUUAUAAUAAUAGAGCCUUAUCUUUUCUCGACUAAGAAUAAAUUACUUCUUUUUCUUGAUAAGACAAGCAUAUUAGAACUUACAGAUUACCCUCUUUUAAAUUAAUAUUAUUCUUCUUUAAUAUCUACUCCUUUUUUUUUAUAUGACUUAAGUAAAAUUAGAUAUUUUUUCUAAGUAUUAUUAUGGAAGAGCUUAUUGAAAUGAAGAAUGAAAUGGCACAAAUGCAAGAGAAAUUGAGAAAAUUAAUACUUGUGAUGCAUCAACUCAAUUUACUACCACAAGGAAUAAUAAAAAUGAUAUGAAGAAAAGAUAUAAAUAUGAUUGAAACUACUUCAAUAUCUGUACCAAAUCAUAUCCUUUGUCUUAUGAUGGAACAUCCUUUUGAUACUAGAAAACUAAAAGUUGCCUUACUUAAGAAGUUUGAUGGCACAAGGUUCGAGUUUCAAAGAUUUAUCAAUUAAAUACAAUUUGUGAAUGAACUUCAACUCUAAAGCUAUCCAAUUCUAGGAUCACAAGUUAGAUUCAUAGGUAUAUUUCUUUCAGGUUCAGUAUUAUUGUGGUUUUCAUCUUUUUUUGAAUGAUGAGAUCUAAUAUUAGAUAAUUUGGAGGCAUUUUUAAUAGAGUUUUGAUCCAUGUAUAAAAAACAUGAUGCAAUUCGUAUUGCAAUCUACAAGAUCUAUAUUUUAUGAGAAGAUAAUCGAUCCAUAUCAUUAUAUGCUUCACAAUUUUGAUAACUUGUAAUUAAUAUUAAGUGAAAUGAUGCUACACUUAUUAACCAAUUUUUCUAUGGAUUACAAUAUGAAGUAAAGAAAUUAAUGCUCAACUUAUCUGAUCCUCAAACAUUGAGUCAAACAAUUGACUUUGCUAAGAAGUAUGAUAAUUGACUUUUCAAAUUUUGAUUUGAGAGUCGGACAAGUGGGCUUCAAAGUUAUUAUAAUUCAAUGGCAACACCAAUGCUGUCAUGAUAUUAUAUGAGUACAUAGUAAAACUACAAUCAAAAUUAAAUUUCUAAUUAAUAUCUAAUUAUUUUAGUUCAAUAAUAAUUCAAGAUAUCUAAACAUGGCUUUUAUAAAAGCCUCUUAGGUUAUUUUCUUAUUUUAAUAGUUAGUAUGUUGAAGGUUGGUUAGUACUUUUACUUUUUAGGCUAGAAAGACUCUUAUACUACCUUAGAAAGACCAUAAAUUGAUAAAAUCAAGUUGACAGAGAUAAAUAAUUAGUAUGAUUGAUACUAAGGUUAAGUUGAAGAUAGGAUUGGGCUAAAAAAUCCUUAGGAUAGGUUAGAUUGAUAUCCAGGGGUCGAUCAUUUAUGAACCAAGGUCAAAAUCAGUUCUUUAGCUACUAAAAUGACCGCUUAGGAAAAAAUAGGGAUUCAUUCAAAGAUUGGAGAUUAGGAUUUGAGACCUAAGUUGGAGCUUAUUCCAAAGACAUAAGAUUGGUUUUGAAAGGAUUUAUAAAGACUUAGCAAUUUUUAUUGAAAGUCAAGGUUUGUAUUGGCAAGUUGAGAUUUAAGUAAUGAAAUUAGGGCUAGCACUUUCAAUUAGUUCGUAAAAUUGGUAUCACAUCUAUAAUUCAAAUUUCAAUGGUACUUGAUUAAUUAGGUUUUCUAAGUGUAUAUAAAAUUUUGUGAUAAUUCAAUGGUGCAAUUGAAAAAUAUCUAGGUUUUGCUACAAGAACAUAUUGGAAGUUGGUAGUUUGGAAUUAGAUAGGGUUUCUAUAAUAUCUAAAGAUCUAUUAGUUGGAUCAAGGUGAAAUUUUGCAUGAUAUUGGAAGACUUAAAGAUCAAGCUAUCCACCAAUUUUGGAUUGAAGUUAAUGGUUAGAGAAGAAGACAUCACUGCUGAAGCUUCUAUAUUACCUUUUAAGUUGGCAGCCAACUGACAUCAGUGCAAUUUUUGGAGGUUUUUUUUACAAUCUAUAAGUUGGAUUGGGCUGAAAUUUCUUGAGCGUAUAAAAGACUUAUAUUGCCAAUUGCAUACAAAAUUUUACAUCAAGUGGAUAGUCUAAUUAGAAGUUAUAGCUUGUCAAAGCUCACUAAUUAGAGUUAAGACUUGCAAGAAAAAUCUAAAUUACUUAAAUAUGAAUGUAACAAGGUAAUUGGGAUUUAUGUAUGAUUGAGGCUACUAAGAAUAUUAUUUUUAAUACUUUUAAAUUGAAAUUUUUAUUAUAUUCUUUUCAUAUGGGUGAAACCUAUUAGAAUUUUUUUGAUACUUGUGAAACAUAACUUCACCUCCCACAGCUAGAUGGCCGAUGCAUUUUCUAACAAGAAAAUAUGUAAUAUGACAACACCUCCUCAAUACAUACAUUUGGAAUUAGAGGAUAUACAAAUUGAUGUGGUACAUUUCAAACUUCUUACUGAGCAAGAAAAAACUCGUUGUCAUUAGGAAGGAUUGUGCUUAUAUUAUGGAGAACAUAAGCACAUUACUCAAUAUUGUCCAAAGAAAAAAUAUAAUUAUAAAGUAAGGAUUAUGAAUGUCUAAGAAGACAAUAUAUCAGAAAAUAAGUUUGUUCAACUAUAAUAGGGAUCAUGUGGCUUGAAUCUUAUACAAUACCUAAUGAAGGUCCUAUUUUUUCUCCAAAAUCUUCUCUUUGUUUUAUAUUAAAUAUUAUCUUAGGACCUAAAUAUUACAAAGCCUUUGCCUUGUUAGAUUCAAGAGCCUCAGUGUCUUUCUUAGAUGAAGAAUUUUUUAAAAGACUUAACAUAUCUUUAAAAAGGAAAACUAAACCUAUUCACGUAGAAGUCAUAGAUGGUCGCAUGUUGCUUUCUGGAGAUGUUACUAACAAAAUUCUUCCUAUAGAAGUAAUAACUAAUGGUCAUAAUAGCUUUGUGGGAUUUAAUAUCAUUAGAUCUCCCUCUAAUCCAAUCAUUUUAUAUUUAUCAUGGUUAAAAAAAUACAACCUUUGAAUAGAUUGGAUUUCUCAUACUCUUGACUUUUCUAAAAGUAUAACUAAGAGUGUAGUUAAUCAAGUAAAAAAUUACAAGUCUAAUAUAAUUAAACCUAUGUUUAUAAGUGCAAGAGCUUUCUUGCAUGCUGCAAAAGCAGGAUCACCUUGUGUCAUUUAUGCCACACCCAUUUCUAAUAGUUGUGAGUCAUAAAAUUGACUCACUAGUUAUUUUAGGUCAAAAGAAUGCAUUUAGAGUGCAAAAAUUACAAUUUUUAGGUGAAGAUUUUCUUAGAAGAGGUUAAAGGAAGAAGAAUAGUAUUAGUGGAAAAAAAAUGGAAUCUUAGUAAGUCUUAUAGGUAAUUAUUUUAGUUGGUUUAGUAUUUUUAUUUAUUAUUAAAUAAUAAGGAUUAGUUACUAAGAUCAAUAUAUAUAUUGAUCUUACAUCUAUAUGUAUUACUUAUAUAAAAUAUAAAUUUUAGUUAGUAGUUAGAAAAAAAAAGCAUGAGAAAAAACAUCAUGUCCUUUUAAUUAUUAAUACAAAAGUAGGAUUUAUAGUGGAUUUAAAUUGAUUUUUUUAUUAUAAAAAAUCAUCAAGAUAUGAAAUUGUAGCCUUAAAUGGAUAUUAUAAUUAUAGAAAUAUUAUAAAAUUUAUUAUAAUUUAUUUAGAAUUUAUUUAGAAUUUUUUAGGAAUUUUUAGAGUAAUUUUUAAGACCUUGGUAAAAAUGACUUUUACCACUGGGGAAGCUAUUAUGAAGAAAUGGAGUAAGAUUUGAAGGCCAUGCAAGGUUCCGAGGCUAAUUGGGUAUUUUUAAACACCAUGGUGUGGUCAAAAUUGUAAAAAUGAUGGUCCUUCUAGUAGAAAAUAGAAGGACCAAUAGCUAAUGUAGUUCUUGUAGGAAGGGAGGUUCAUAAGUCCCAUAUGGGUUGUAGCACCUUGAAGGUAAUUAGGAGGAUAAGACUAAGGCCUCGUGGCCUCUCUUAGACACCCAAUAUAUACUACAUGUGAACCUUGGUGAGGCUUGAACCCUUGACCUAUAAGCAAGUUACCCUUGAGGUAAAAUAUUUUCACUUGAUUUUUAUUUAUUUACUUAUUAUUUUUAAACCUCCAUAAAUUAUUCAUAGUAAUUCGGAUUUAUAUGUUUUUUAUAUCAUUAGAAAGCUUAAAAAAUUAAAUUUAUAAAAAUGUACUUUUUAAAUUUUACUUUUUACUUUUUAUUAGGUGAAAACUCCGUGAACAGACUAUGACCGAAUUUUGGAGUGUGUAUUUGCUUGUAUACAUUUCUUUCACUUGUUUGUAUUGUUUCUUCUUUUGUUCUUGUUCAUUUCAUCUUCCACUUCACAUUGCCCAUUACAAGAAACUUUUAAUUGAGGCCAUCUUAUAAUUUGGAUAGAGGGAUGAAAUUUACACUCACAUUUUGGUGCGUUUGCUGGGAGAUGGUGCUUCUAAUGGUGUGUGUGAAUGUGAAGUUUGCUUCUUAUGAUUGAUUUUGAUACAACUCAAGUUGACUUUUUAGGUUAUAUUAUUUCAAAUGAUGGACUUAUAAUAGAUCCUAAGAAAGUUCAAACUAUUAUAGAUUGAAAAAUCUCAAAAAUGGUUUGAGAUAUCCAAUAUUUUUUGAGAUUUAUUAAUUACUAUAGGAUCUUUAUAAAGGACUUCUCUUAAAUUUUAGCUCUACUUACUUGUUUGACUUGUAAAGACAAACUUCAAUGGAUUUAAGAAGCAAAGACAACAUUUGAAGCUUUAAAGACAACUUUUGUUUUUGCAUCAAUUUUAUAUCUUGUUGGCUUUUUUAAGGUAUUUUUUUAUGGAAAUAGAUACAUUAGACUUUGCUUUGAAUGUUGUAUUAUCAAAAAUGGAAUCAACUAAUAAACUUCAUCUAAUAGCUUUUCAUUCCAAUAAAUUUUUAACAUCUGAGAUUAACUAUGAAAUCCACAAUAAAGAACUCCUUUCAAUUAUAAAUUCUUUCCAAGAAUGGCAUCAUUAUCUAGAAGGCACUUCUAAUCUAAUCGCCAUGUAUACAGAUCAUAAGAAUCUUGAAUAUUACAUGUGAACAUGUAUUUUGAAUCAUCGCCAAAUUUUUAAGUAUGUCUUUAUUAAGAUUCAAUUUCAAAAUCACAUAUUGACUUGAAAAACAAAAAGGUUUAUUAGAUUCCUUUUUUAGACAUCCUUAUCUUAUAUCAAAAGAAAGAGAUGUAUCUUUUGAUCAAUAAAGAAUGAUUUUUUUAAAGUCUUUGUAUUUUUAUCUUCGAAUAAUGAAAUCAACAUUGAUUAUUGAUUCAAACUUUAUUAAACAAAUUCAAUCAAGUAUGUUUUUUAAUCUUCUUAUUCAUGAUAUCAAAAAUCUUUCUUUUAAGUUUCAAAAUACUUCCAAAUUUAAAUUUAAAAACAACCUAGUCUAUUUUAAAAGAUACCUAUAUGUUCCAAAAAGAGAGGCAUAUUUAUGUUGUCAUAUUAUAAAAGCUUAUAAUAUGUAAAAAUUAGUUAAAACAUAUAAUAUAUUCAUAAUUCUUAGUAUAUAUUAGAAUAAUUAAUAGAUUAAUUUAAAGAGAGUGGAUAUAAGAAACUUUAUUUUGAAUUUUAUCUAUUUUGAUUUUAGCAUUAAAAAAAAUACAUAGGACCUAAAUGUUUAGUAUGAAGCCUUAAGAGGAGAUUAGAACCUAAAGAUGAAAAUCUUAACUAGUAGGAGGCUUAUUGGAAGGGAUGAAAGUAAGACAUGGUUGGAUGAAGGCAAAGAAUGGAGAUCUUCAUUCUUGUUGGUUAAAUACCAUGUCCAAUGGACUUCAAAGAGGCUGCCCUAGGCCUUAUUAGGAAUUAGGAUUUUUUAUUGAAUUCAUUUGAGCUUUGGAGGCUAGAAUAAUUAAGUUUAGGUUUUUGGAUACAGAUUGGAUGCAAAUUUUGUGUGAUGUGGAGUCUUUAUAAAAGAGUUAUUGGCACUCAAAGUUAAGGUAUCAAUUUCAUACCUACUAUGACUCUUUCGAAUAUAACAUACGUUUACAAAAAGCAAUAAAGGAUCGGUGAUAAGGAUUGAAGAGAACACUUUUUUACUACACUUUUUAUAUAUUAUUUGAUGAAUUUAGAGUUUGAAUGAAGAAGUUAUAGAGUGUUAAAGUUAGAGCAUCCAAAUUAAAGGCAAUAAAUAAGUGAUUUUGUUCAUAGUAAUGGUUGGAGCCAUAUUUUGAGUUUUUGGACAAAUUUUUAGUUAAUUUUUUUUAAAAAAGAUAGAUAAUUGUAUUAAAAAACUAUACAUAUAAAUUUUGUGGUAUUUGGAUGUUUAUUUUGUGACAUAUGAAGAAAUUGCAUGCAGGUAUAUAAAAACUAGGAUUUGAAGCUAUUGUUAGGGUUUUGGUGAUAUCUUAAGAUCCGCGAUGAAUUUACAAUUGAAAUUUGUUGUUGGAGUUGUUAGAAGUAUAUUAGUACUUUAUGUAAAAUUUGAAUAAGUUUAGACAGUCGGAUCAGGAGAUAUGAGAUAUUGAAGUUCAAAAAAAAUUCCGCAUAAGGAUAUACAAGGUUUUAGAGGAUUUUAUCAUAUUUUGGAUGUUGUUGGUUACAUGAGGCUUAUAUAUUUGGUGUAAUUUCUCCAUAAAGAAAAAUUUUAUAUAUAAACUUAGGGCUUCCCUUAUUUUGAAGCUUGAUUGAGCAAUUAGUGACAAUCAAGAGCCCAAUACUUUCUUAAGGCAAAUUCUUUCUUCCUUGAUAAUGUAUUCUUCAAGCAUGCCACAAUUUUUUAGCAGUUGGAUAUCUUGGAUACAAUAAGACUUUAGAAUUGAUUUCUAGAGAUUUUUGGUGGCUGCAAAUGUAGAAGGCAAUCAAAGAUUUUAUUCAAUCAUGUGAUAUUUGCUCAAGAUCAAAAAUUCCUUGUCAUCGAUCUUAUAGACUUCUUCAGCCAUUACCUAUUUCAAAAUAACCAUGGUUUUUUGUUUCUAUGGAUUUUAUCAUGGAUCUUUUAGUCUCAGGUUUGUAUGAUUUUAUAUUUGUGAUAAUAGAUUAUUUUACAAAGAUGGCAUAUUUUGUGUUAUAUAUAAAAUCUAUCUUAAAUAAAGAAACAACCAAGCUUUUCCUUAACAAUAUCUAUUGAUAUCAUGGACUGCCUAAAGAUAUUAUAUUAGAUAGAGAGAUUGUCAAGGAUAUGAAUCUCACUGUAUUAUUUGAUCAUUAUUGAGGCCUUCAUAACUUCUUUAUAAUAAAAUAUUUAGAAUACCAUCAAAAACUAUUCUUAUCUCUAAUAAAAUUACCAAACAUUAGGAGUCUCUUCUAAGGUCAUGAUACCAAACAUGUUAUAUAUUGCCAGCUAUUUGAAAAAAGACAUGUUAUUUUUGAGGAUUUUUAUCUCAAUUUUGUUAUCUUAAAGGUUGUGGUUUGGCUACUAUGUGAAAAUAAUGUGAUUAUGUAUUUAAUAUAUAAUUUACUUAGCAACAUGAUGAGAGCCAUGUUAUUAGAUUUUAAUUGGUUAUAGAUUGUGAUUAGAUUACUACUUUAAAAGGAGGUUGUUUAAAAGGAUUACUAUUAAAAUUUAUAUAACUUUAUUUUCUUUUGAUAAUGGCUUUUGAGAUUGAUUUUGUUGGUGGUAACUUUAAAUAUUUAGAGUCACCUUUAUUAGACAUUAGUGACUCUUGAAGUCUUAUUUUAGUUCUUUAAUUUGAUGUUUAAGGCAUAUAUUAAGUAAAUCUUGUAAAAAAAAAAUUGAAGAGGGAUUUUGGUAGCAAAAAGAAAGUUAAGAGCAUCCAUAUAGAUGAAUGGAGAUGGAUGAUGAAAAUCUCCAUUUCCAUUGGUCAAAAAUCAUGACCAAUGGAUUUUGAGGAGGUUGCUUGAGGCCAUAUUAGAGAUUAGGGUUAGUUUUUCAAAAAUAUUUUUGCUUUAAAGACUAGGAUCAGCAAUUUUAGAUUUUUGGCUACAAUUUUGGAGCAUAUUUUGAUUCAUUUGGAGUUUAUAUGAAAGAAAUAUGGGCGUUCAAAGUUAGGAUGUUGAUUUUAUACCUAUUGUUAGACUUUUGGAUAUAACACAUGCGUACAGAAAGUAACAGAGGAUUGACAAUUAGGAUUAAAGAGAGCACUUUCUUGACUAUAUUUUACAUAUAAUUUUUGAUAAAUUCUAAGCUAGAAUAAAAAACUUAUUGGAAGUUAAAGUCAGGAUUUGGAAUUUAAGGAGUUAUAAGUGACCCAAAUUGCUAGUAGUUGUAUUUUGUGCUAUAUCUUGUGCACUUUGAUAAGAUUUUGGCUAAGAAUUUUUAAAAAUAUAUAUUUUAUAUUAUUAAACUUUAUACAUAAGUUUUGUGACAUUUGAGUUUUGGAUUUGUGAGAUAUGAAGAAAAUAAUACUUAGGUACUUAUGCAUUAGGGUUUUAAAGCACUUGCUAGGGUUUUUAAGAUACCAAACGAUUGGUAGAGAAUUUAAAAUUUAAAUUUUGUAAAGUAAAGCUUAAGAGUGAAUUUUAUAAUAUAUGUAAAUUUGACAAAAUUUGAACUAUUGGAUCAAGAUAUAUGAAUUUCUAAAGUUUAAGAAGAAAAAAUCCUUUGUAGGAAUAUUUUAUUUUGAAGGAAUUUUAUUAUAACUUGAGCAUUUUACACAAAAUAAGGGAAUAUUUUGGAAGCCAAGACUUUAUAUAUAUGUUGAAGAUGGAUAUGUUGAGCUAUUUUUGAAUUUUUGUAUAAAUAUGAGCUUUUGAGAGGAGAUUUUGGAUUUCUUUUGAAGUUAUUGAAAACCUAAUCUACGAGCAAAUGGUUAGCUAUGAUUGGUAUAGCCAAGAAUGUUAGAAAAUUUCUAGAUAUUUUAGAAAGCCUUAUGUAUAAACCUUCUUAAAUAUAAAAAUAUUUAUUAAUACAAUAUCUUUUUGAUAUUGUAGUAUUUAUUUGUCUUCUACUUUUAAGAUUAAAUAACUUAUUGGAGCUUUGCUAAGAAGUUAAAACUAAAUUCUCUACAGCUAGGUAUUCCAUGUAUUCCCAAAUAGAAAACCAUAAAAUACAACAAUGGUCUUUAUUAUAGCUAGACAAACUUGUUUUUUGUUCUAUUAUCUUCUUUGAUAUUUGUACUCUUUAUUUUAUAAUUGUGUUCUUUCUUUGGACAAUAUUGAGCAGUGUACUUAGAUUCUCUACAAUAUAAGUACAAUCUUUCAUGACAGCGAUGAAUCUUAUCUUGCUCAGUAAGAAGUUUGAAAUGUAUCGCAUCAAUUUGCAUAUCUUCUACUUUUGAAUGUAUGUAUUCAGGAAGUGUUGGUGUUGCCAUUGAAUUAUAGUAACGUUAGAGCCUACUUGUCUGACUCUUUGAUCAAAAAUUUAAAAAGUCAAUUGUUAUACUACAUAGCAAAGUCAAUCAUUUGACUCAAUGUUUGAAGAUCAGAUAAGUUAAAAAUCAAUUUUCUUACCUCAUAUUGUAAUCCAUAGAAAAAUUGGCUAAUAAGUGUAGCAUCAUUCCACUUAUUAUCAGUUACAAGUUGUCAAAAUUGUAAAGCAUAUAAUGUUAUAGAUCGAUUCUCUUAUUGCAAAAUAUAGAUCGUAUUGGUCGUAACACAAAUUGCAUCAUGUUUUCUAUACAUGGUUCAAAAUUCCACCAAAAUAGCCUCCAAAUUAUCUAAUAUUGAACCUUAUUAUUCAAGAAAAGAUGAAAACGACAAUAAUAUUGAACCUUAAAGAAGUGUAUUAAUGAAUCUAACUUGUGAUUCUGAAAUUGGAUAGCUUAGAGAUUAAAGUUCAAUCACAAGUUGUACUUGAUUGAUAAAUCUUUAAAACUUGGACCUUAUGCAAUUAAACUUCUAUCAAAGACAUGAAUCUCAAAGAAAGAAAAUUCUCAAUAUAUCCUUAUAUCAUUGAAAGAAACUAAAAAGACAUCCAAAGAUGAUAUAAUAUUGGACUAGAAUGGCUAUUACUUAAAAUAAGAAGACUAAAAAGUCUUAAAAUAAGACUAAAGAUUAUAAAGGCAUUGACAAGAGUGAAACACGCUUCACUCUUCACUCUUUCUUCCAUAUAUACUUUCUAAUUAGGAGCUACAUGGUGAUAUUCUAUAAGACCUCUAACAUGUGUUGACUUUGCUAGCUAUAUGUCUUAACUUGUAAGGCAAGUUAUCUAUAUAUGUACCACAUAAUUAACUUGUUUCACAGGCUACUACACAGAGUUAACUUGUUCUACAAGCUACCAACAUGUGAUUAAUUUAUUGGCCAAAUUUCUAACCUAAAAACACAUCUAAAGUCAAAAAUGCAUCCAUCAAGCUUCUAAGAAGCUUUUAGGAAGCUUUUCUACAAGAUUUUAUGAAAUUAAUCUAUAUUUACUUACUUCUAUUUAAUUAUAUAAAUAACUAUUAGAGUAAAUGUAUAUGUCUAUUACACUACUCUACCUUCUAGGGAUGAGUUUCACGAGCAGCAAUCAUCAUCUUUCAUAGAUCUUUACAAUUCUUCAUCUAAUUUUUGAUAGAUGUUGUCAAUAAAAGGCCUCAACCUUUUUUGUUGCAUUUACAAACUUCUUUGUUAGCUCUCAUGUACGUUCACUAAUAUAAUAUCUACGCUAAUGAAUAAGAUAUUCUAACCUAUUUUGGUGCCAUCUUGAAUCUAAGACUUCUUCUAUGUCAAAUUCUUGAUUAUUCUCCACUUCUAUAGGAAGAAGUUGCAUUUGUCUUCUUUUCGAGAUAUUCAUUAUCUUAUAUGGCUCAAAAAAGGACAUAUAAAAUACAAGGUCGUUCUUCAUAGACUCCGGUAGAUAUAAUCGAUAAGCAAUAAGAUUGACUUAUUCACUAAUAGGAAAAGAUCAAAGUUUUCAAUAGUCUAAUUUAUUACAAUGACAAGUAGUCUUGAUAUUGUGAUGAAGUAACCAUACCUUAUCACCUACAUUGAAUUGUAGUUGCUACUUGCAAAAGAUAUCUAUGUAGGUAUUUUGUUGUUCUUGAGCUUCCUUUAAUUGUGUCUUCAUUGUUGCAUACAACUUUGAUAAAUAAUUUGUUAAAUUUUUGGUGUAUGAUUAUUAAAUUUUACACAGUCAAAAAUAUCAAGUCAUAGAAUAAUCAUAAGUGGUAAAAAAAGGUGUUUGUUGAGUAGAAAAAUUUACUAAAUUAUUGUAUGCAAACUCUACCAAUAGUAAAAGAAUUGUCUAAUCAUCUUGAUGAUAGUUGAUGGUACACCUCAAAUACUACUCUAAAACUUAAUUCACUCAUUUCGUUUACCCAUCAGUUUGAAGAUGAAAAGUCGAAGAGAGCUUUAUAUCUACCUUUAGAAUUUUAAAUAAUUUUUUUUAAAAUCUUGAUACAAAUUGAAUCCUCCUAUCCGAUAUAAUAUCCUUUGGCAAUCCAUGAUAGCAAUAGAUAUUAUUAAUAAAAAGCUUAAUUCUUUCUUCAUUUGAAAUAGAUUUUGUAUAUGAUACAAAAUGUGCCAUUUUGGUGAAGUAAUCUACGAUUACAAAUAUAGAAUCAUAUAAACUUGAACUUAAAAGAUCUAUAAUAAAAUCCAUAGAAAUGAAAGACCAUGGUUAUUCGAAUAUAGUCAAUAGUUGGAAAAGUCCAUAGAGUUGAUAAUAAGGAGUUUUUGAUCUUGAAUAAAUGUCACAUGACUAGAUAAAGUCUUUUACCACCUUCCACAUUUGUCUUGCCACCAAAAAUUUCUAGAUUUAAGCUCUAAAAUUUUAUUGUAUUCAAAAUGUCCUACUGCUAAAAAGUCAUGACGUACUUAAAGAACACAUAAAUAUGCUUCUCAUUUUGGAACAUAUAGGCAUUCUUCAAAAUAGAGAAGGUUGUUCUUAAACUUAAACUUUGAGACUUAAAAGAAAGUUUCUUGAUAUCAUGAAUAAGAAGAUCAAAAGACAUACUUGAUUGAAUUUUUUUGACAAAGGUGAAAUCAAUAGUCAAUGUUGAUUUCAUUGCUCAAAGAUAAAAAUACUCUAGCUUCAAGAGGAUUAUUUUUUGUUGAUUAAAAGAUACGUCUCCUUCUUUUGGUCCAAGAUAAGGAUCUCUAGAAAGAGCAUUUGAUAAACCUUGUUGUUUUUCAGGUUGAUAUGUGAUCUUGAAAUCAAAUCUUGAUAAUGAUAUGCUGUAAUGGACUUGGCGACCAUUCAGAACACGUACUGAUAUGAAAUAUUUGACGUUCUUGUGAUUGAUAUAUAUAUUAUGACUAGACUUGAAGCACCUUCUAGAUAAUGAUGCCAUUGUUGAAAUAAAUCCAUAAUUACAAGUUCUUUAUCGUAGAUCUCAUAGUUAAUCUCGGCUAUUGAAAUUUUUUUGGAAUGGAAAGCUAUUAAAUGGAAUUUAUCAUUUAUUUCUAUUUGUGACAAUACUGCAUUGAAAGCAAAGUUUGAUGCAUUUUUUUCCAUAAAAAAUAUCUUAAAAAAGUUGAUGCGAUAUAAAGUUGGUGUAGAAAUAAAUUCCUUCUUCAAAGAAACAAAUGAUGCUUUGGAUUUUUUAUUCUACUUAAGUUUGUCUUUACAAGUCAAAUAUGUAAGUGGAACUACAACUUGAGAAAAGUACUUGAUAAAAAUUUGGUAAUAAUUAACAAAGUCCAAAAAGCAUUGCACAUCUCUAACUGUUCUUAGGAUCUCCUAAUCUAUUAUAGUGUGGACCUUCUUUGAAUCCAUCAUAAGCCCUUCAUUAGAAAUGAUGUAUCUCAAAAAAUCAACUUGAGUAGUGUAGAAUACACACUUUUUCAUCUUUGUGUAUAAUCUUGCAUCUCUUAGUUUUUGUAACACAUGAUAAACAUGAACUUCUACUCUUCUAUAUUCUUAGAAUAGAUUAAAAUAUUGUCUAAAUAAUAGACCACACAAUCAUCAAAAAACUCACAAAAGACAUCAUUUAUUAGAUGUUAGAAAGUACUUGGUCCAUUCAUGAGUCCAAAAGGCAUGAUAUUAUAUUUAAAAUGUCCAUAUCCAGUUUGAAAAGCAAUCUUCCAUUUAUCUCCUUCUUUGAUGCGAACUAGGUUAUAUGCUCUUCAUUGAUCUAUUUUUGUAUAGAUCUUUGCUUCAUUUAAUUGAUAAAGAAGUCUUGAAAUCAAAUAUAGAAGAUUCUUAUUCUUGAUGGUGAACUUGUUAAGUCCUCAAUAAUCCUCACACAUCUAUAGAAAUUCGUUCUUUUUCUUCAAAAAUAAGGUAGAAGCCCCGUUAGGAGCCUCGACUGGAGAAUCGCAUAUAAAGUUUUUAAUCAAGUUUUCAUCAAUGUAAUCUUUGAGUGCAACCAAUUCAUUUUGUCAUAGGCUAUAGAUUGGUCCAAAUAAUAGUUGAGUUCCUUCUUGAAGAUUGAUGGUACAAUCAUAAAAAUAAUGCUCUUGAAAAAUAUUUGUAUUUUUUUUUUCUAAAACAUCUUUAAAAUCUUGAUAUUGACUAAGAAUACUACUUAAUAUCUUUUCACCAUCAACAAUGGAUGUUGCAUAUAUAACAAAAGAUGGUCCUUUAUUUGUGGCAUGCAUGAAAUUUUUUGCACUUAUUAAUAAAAGUUUGGAUAUAUUAGACUUAUGGAUUUCUACUUGUCUAACAAGACCUUAAGCUAAACUAUCAAAAAAAUCGAGAUUACAAGAAAUCUAGUCUAUUUGAAGAUUAUAUCUUUUAAACUACAAUAAUCCUAAAAUAAUUGGAUUAGAAAGAGACUUAAUCACAUUAAAUAUUAUUAUACUAUUAUAACUACUAAUUACUACUUAUGUAGGAAUAGUUUCAUAUAUAACAUUUCCAAAAGAUAAUGAACAUCCAUCUAUUACUUUCAUAUGCACAAGUUUGAUUUUCUUAACUAAGGAUAUAUCUUGUUUUUUGACAAAGUCUUCAUCUAUAAAAUCAAGUUGAAACUCCUAAAUCCAAUAAAGCUAAGACUUUGAUUUUUUGGUUCUAAACACACUUCUAUUGUAAAACAAGGUGAAAAAUCAUAGGUGAGAAUAAGACCUUUGUUAGAUGUUACAUAUAAUUCCAACCUCAUGGUCUCUAUUGUAAUUUUUGUAAUUAUUGACAUGAAAUAUUUCUCUUUCAUUUCUGAUAUGGAAUGCAUCUAAUACCAUUUUCACAUUCAUCAACACACUAUAAAAUACGAACAAGCUACAACAUCAAUUUCUAAAUGGACUCAAAAAAUAUUUGAAAAAUACAACUUGACAAUAAAAUAUGAACAACAAGCUACAACUUCAAUUUCUAAAUGGACUCAAAAAAUACAACUUGUGAAUCUCAAUUGCUCAAUUAUUUAGUAGGUGAUGUAAAUUUGUCGUGAAUCCAAAAAUUUGUGCUCAUUGAACUUCAAAGCUUUGCUUGAGCGAUCACAACGAACUAAUUAUUUUGGAAUCUCAUCACUAGAAAAGAUUGCAGAGGUUACUGUCAAGAUAAGCUGAGCAGUUGGGGCCUCACUGCCUUGAAAGCCAACACCACUGUGUUACAGACAACCAGAGUAAUUUUAGCCCACCUCAGGAUUCGGAACCAAAUUCACGUUCUGUUCUUCGUUUUCGUCACAAAGUCACAGCUGAUUGCUCUUUCAAGGUCCUAAGAUACUCUCGCAUCAACUUGAACUUAUUUUUGCUUAGAGAAUGAAGAUAGCUCCAAGUGUAGAUCCCAGUGUCAUGCAAGUCGUCAAACGAUAUUUUGUGGUAAGGCAUCAAUGAUAUGUUUUAGAUGCUUCUGAUCACAGGAGGGGUCUGUGUUCAAAAACAGUGUUGAGAAACAAAAUAGGAUGUGCAUGGUGCAAAUACUUCUGAACAACUGUGCACCAUAACAUGUACAAGAUGUCUCUAGAGUUUCAGUUGGGAGAACUUGAGCCUGCCACUUGAUGCAAGAACAGAUUCAUUGAUUAACAUAGAAGAAAAAACCUGAAGUUUAGUGGGUGAAUUCCACAGUACUCUUGGGCAUUCAGAUUGUAAUUUUAAUAGAGUUUACCUGAUUGCAUAAUUUCCAGUGGGUUCAACUGAUAUGAUGGUGACAUGUCUCCUUCUUACAACUGCCUGCACAUUGUCAUUUCCACUUGGUUGGAACAUUGCUCACAAUGUAGAUCCAGACAGAGGUUUAAAGGAAAAAAUUGCGGCGACAUCCAUUGGCAGUGCAAGGCUUGGAGUUCAAAUUCAAAAUUGCGAGUAGAAGGUUAGGAGCCUAAAAUAUUUUUUCGUAUUAUUAAUGAAAAUGACCGCAACGCCAGAUAUAAAGAUGAAGAAAUAUCCUAAUUGUUCCUCUCGCUGAAUGACGCUGACUGUCAACUGUAGAACUUUUGACACAAAGAAAUUCUGCAGAGUAGAUGUAUUUGUCUCUGUUGUUAAACUCCACUUCCAAAGCCUGCAAAUAUAAAGAAGUCGAAAUAUUCUCUCAUUGAAGUUACAGGAAAAAUGGCACAACUUGAUGCAAGCCUACACAAAGGUAACAAUGUCACCAACACAUCCAAUUAACGAAACUAACUCCUCUAACCUAUGAAUCCUAAACCUAGAAGGUAGUCACAUGUCCACGGUAAUCGAAAUUGUGUGUCACAAGCGAAUCUACGAAACUAGCUACUCGUAGAAACGCUGCAUAAGAAGAAAGCUUAUAGAAUGCGAAACAAAAGGAUGGCAAGUACAAGAUGAGAUAAGACGUUUACCAACGUGGAUUGCAAACAGCUUACCUUCAAAUUGGGGGUAGAGGGAGGGACAGCCCGCAAAACAAUUUUGGUGGCACAAAUGGGGGAGGAAGAGAAAGAGGUAGCGAGGCCUCGUAUAAGACAAUCCCAAGACAAUCGUCCCAGGACAAUCUGUUUCAUACAAGCAAUUGGAAAACAUCAAUCUCAGUUGGUACAACUCCAAGAUACCACAGUUGCUCAGACUUACAGAGUCUUAAUCACUCAAGAUGGCUCGAGUCUCAAAUAAGACACCUCUUCAGGACAAAAACUCAAUUUUCUUGCAAGUCCAAUCAACCACAUACCGCUUUCUUCUCUUUUCCUACAAAAGACAAACCCGUCUAACUCUCUGAAUCGACCCCUAGGAACAAUUACAAGCAGUUGUAGCACGAUCACACAAGAGGCCCUCAAAAACUAUUUAAAAAUCCUUCCACUAAGCCAAUUGAUGGUAGCCGGCUGCUCAACCAAGAUUGAGACACAUAACAACAAAACUUACACAAUCCAGAUUCUCUAUGAAAGCCAUCAAUUCAUCCUCCAGAUUCAAUACACAGAUUCCUCCAACCAAAACUUUUGCCCAUGCACAAACAACAAUCGCAUCAAGAGCUAAACCACAUAGACAAGAUUCCACAAGGAAACAAACUUACGUUGAUUCGCGUCCUCGGGGACCGCUCCAACAGGAGCAUCUUCCGUUUUUUCCACCAUUAGACUCCUUUUCACAAUCAAGCCCCUCACACAAGAACCUCUACCACAAUCCUACACUCUUCUACUUUCAUGCAAACUAACACAAUUACUCCAAGGUUACAAAAACACAUCAAUUCAAAGCUUGAAAAAUCCUAGCUCAAAAACCCAACUUCCAAAAAACAUAGUUACCAUCCAAACCUAACUCUCCAACAUAUAAAACAGCUUUUCAUAAUUUCUUCGCUACAGAAUAAACAGCGUGUAUAUAGCAAACUUGAGCAACUAGGUAACGAAACAAGACGUUUACACAACUCAAUAAUUGACAAAUCUGACAAAGCAACUUUUACAGUUUGAUCAUGGAGCUGAAAAAUCUCUCGCAAUUUCCACAAUUCAACUGAUCCAUAGUAGGAGCUUGAAGGGGAACACAGAUACUUCGGGGAGGACCUUAGGGCGUCCCAAAGCCCUAAAAAUCCAAAGAAUCCCGGUUACUGUAGUACCGCAAAGACCGUGACCUGUUUAUCUAGGAAAUGAUUAUAUCUUGCUGGACGUAUCUACGUUUUUUCAAAAGAGGAAGCUGCUAGUGCUCCUGUUCGUAACUCUAGGGUGUGGAUGAAAGGAACUUUGUAGGUGAUAUCGUAUUAAUACGUAUGCAAAGCAAUUAAUCUACACCCAAUUGUCAUCGUGAGAUCUAAUAUGCAAUCUCAAUUUCAUGGGCAAAAUUCACUAUUGCAAUACGUAAAUUAUACCAAUUUUGUGAUGUCUUCUUGUGUUUUUUACUCAAAGUUGAACUAUCUUUGUCCAAUCACAUUGAAUUUGGCACAAACCAUUAAACAAAGAGGAGUUUUGAAGAUACAAUUCCAAAUAUAAAAAUAUAAAAAUAAAGUAUGUACAAGCAAGAUCCAUAAUAUUGGUGACACAACAUAAAGUGCAAAAAAAAAUGAUGGUAACUUGAAAAAGGAUUGUAUAACAUUAAUUUUACAAUGAAAACAUAAAAUUAAUUUUAAAGACAACUAUGGAUAUGUAAGAAAUAACAUACAUAAGCAUUUUGUUAUGUAAUUGAUAAAAAUAGAAACAUAUAUAACGAUGUCAUAAUAAAAAAAAAAAAAUAUAGAUAGAAUAUGAUAUAAAACAUUAAAAUUUGAAGGAUUGUGUAUAUAAGCAAUCAUUCCAACCAAUCAACUUGUGGUAAAAAUUCCGAAAAUGAUCUUUAAUAAAACAAAAUAACUAUAUAAUAUAAAUUUCAAAACCUAUCUCAAAAUCUAUAUAGAAUGUAAUAAAUCAUUCAAGGUGUUAUAAAAAGAUUACAAUUUAAAGUUCAUAUAUUGAUUGAAUGUUAUAAGGGGUCUUUAUAUCUAGCAUCAUAAUUUAAAAGGGCAUGGUAUAAAUGUUUUUCAAAAGUCCUCAACUUAGUGAAAACAAAACAAAAUCUUCUUUAGAAGCCUUAAAUAUAUUACAAAGUUAGUGGAGACUAUGUUAUGAAAUGAACCGCUUUUAUUUUUAUUUUUAAACUGUAAGUCUAAAUAUGUCAAAAAAUAUCUUGAUUCUAACCAUUAUACCAAAUAAAAAUAAUUGGUUUCAGUUUUUUUGAGAUCAUUUUUAAUUACUUUAGUGCUAUACCAAACAAAACAAACAAACAAACAAACAAACAAAAACAGGUACAUGUAUAAGUAUAUAUGAUGUCUUAUUCAAUAUGAAGAAAUGCACAACUUUUUUUAAAAAAAGAGGCACAUCUCUAAAGAAAACCAACUUUAAGAUUGGCAAUUCAAACCACAUCUGUUAAUGCAUUAUUUGUACAAUAGAGUAUUUAAUUUUGAUUCCAUUGAAUUUUUUGUUUUAAUCUUUAUAAAACAUCUUCAUCGUGGCUUAUCGAAACAAAUAUUAACGCAAAUGUUUGCAGUUAAUUGAAGGAAGUUAGAGAGUAGACAGAAGUCAGGGGUCUAACUUUCAGGUCUGAAUCGAAGGUUCGGCCAAAAUUCGCUGUGAAAAGAAGUUUCUCCAAUCGUCCCACCCCAUCUUUCAUCACCAAGUGCACGGCAGCAGCUGCAUCAAUUGUUGUGCACAAUCCUUAUAAAUCAACGCAACAGAUCAACUCCACCCAGAGUGGCGCCGAUCACACAACCGUAAAGCAAAACCGUAAUCCUCAGCGGCUAAAACCAGUUGACGACACGGGAAAACAUAGAAACAUGUAUAAGCAAAACAGACAGCAGACGGUAUGAAAUUCAGGAGAAAGAGGAGAUUGGUAGAGACCGAUACUCGAAGUAAAUAUUAGUUUCUGGUUCAAUGAAAACAUCAAAUGGAGGAGCUGCAGAGUAAGUGUAAGGCUGUGAAUGCUGACCGCAUUCAAAGCGACCAUAGGAUUAAUUUCAAGCCCGAUCACAGUUCCAUGACCGCCAACAGACGUAUCAGCGUGGAAAGCUAAACGCAUCAAGCAACAAACUACUCCCGCAUCACAUUCUAGCAAAUGAACCUUUGCUGAAGUUGUGAACACAGCUCAGGGACUUCAUGCGCUGCAGCAAGCAGGCAAACCAAGUUGACAAUCUUCGUUAUGCAGCUUGGGAUGGUGCGAUCAAGGCGGGCUCUCCAGCAGCAGCGCGGGCCUCGUGGUUCUCAACUUCAACAGCAACUGGAGGCACAUGUGGACGGGCCACCGGAGGACCUCCACAGAAGAGGUAAUCGAUCUCGCCAGGCAGGAAGGUCAGACUGGAUUCAAGAGGAAGAAUUGGGGGAAUCGGAUUGGAGCCCAUCGUGACGGAUUCACUCUGCAAUUCACAAUGACUACGCAACUUCUGAAGCCAAAUCAGUGCAAGUCGAAACCGCACUCACUGAACUGAAUUCACCGCCUCACAUCAAGCUCGUCAAAUCAACUAAAUACUCGUCCCACAAAACACACUAAAUCCGCGAUGACAGAUUUCGGUCUUCUAUUUCUAUCGAGCUCGGGGAGAACCUGGAGAUAUAUAUAUGUUCGAGGUUUAUUUGGAUGAAUUCCUCCUUCUCCAUUGGAUGGAUGAAAUUUUUUUCGGUGGCACGUAUGAAAUUUUGAGGGAGGGAGGGAUCUCUCAUCAUCAUAGGAGCAGCCGGGUCCAGACCGGGGGCAUCGUCCUCACGUGAAGCCGUAACCCCAUGGGAGGGAAUCUCUGAUGUUCCACCAAAGCACCGUAACCCACAUGGUUGCAUGCAACCAUGGUGCAACCAUGGCGACGGUGCAACCAUGGCGCAACCAUGGCGACGGUGCAGCCAUGGCGCAACCAUGGCGACGGUGCAACCAUGGAUGGCGACGGUGCAACCAUGGCGCAACCAUGGCGACGGUGCAACCAUGGAUGGCGACGGUGCAACCAUGGAUGGCGACGGUGCAACCAUGGCGCAACCAUGGCGACGGUGCAGCCAUGGCGCAACCAUGGAUGGCGACGGUGCAACCAUGGAUGGCGACGGUGCAACCAUGGCGCAACCAUGGCGACGGUGCAACCAUGGAUGGCGACGGUGCAACCAUGGCGACGGUGCAACCAUGGAUGGCGACGGUGCAGCCAUGGCGCAACCAUGGCGACGGUGCAACCAUGGAUGGCGACGGUGCAACCAUGGCGCAACCAUGGCGACGGUGCAACCAUGGAUGGCGACGGUGCAACCAUGGCGACGGUGCAACCAUGGAUGGCGACGGUGCAACCAUGGAUGGCGACGGUGCAACCAUGGCGCAACCAUGGCGACGGUGCAACCAUGGCGCAACCAUGGCGCAACCAUGGCCACGGUGCAACCAGAAAUAUUCCAAAACGCGCCAAAUACGUGAUUCAUUCAUCCAAUGUGUGAUGAAAGAUGGGGUGGGACGAUUGGAGAAACUUCUUUUCACAGCGAAUUUUGGCCGAACCUUCGAUUCAGACCUGAAAGUUAGACCCCUGACUUCUGUCUACUCUCUAACUUCCUUCAAUUAACUGCAAACAUUUGCGUUAAUAUUUGUUUCGAUAAGCCACGAUACAGAUGUGCCCCUCACCCUCAUAUAAUCUCUUGAAGGUCCAUUGCAACUGAGACCUCUGCCGAGUAGCAAAGAACCUGGACAUUGUAGAAUUUGAAUAUUGUUGAUAGAAGAUACUUAUUAGGCCAUUUUUCCAAUGUAAGAACUGGUGUGCCGAUGAUUAUCAAAUCCCAGUGCAGAAUCCAUUUCGCUUGGGUCAAAUUAUUUUCUGCAACUAUCAAUUUUAUUUAUUGUGCUUCACAUAUUUGUGAAGCACAAUGACUAAAUAUGUGUGUGAGUGUGUGUGUUGUACAUAGUUAUACAUUAAAAAAUAGGAUUAUGGUUCUAUGUGAUUGUCAUAUCGUGUGUUUUACAGUGAUUGGUUUUUUAUUAUUGUUAUUAUUAUUAUUAUUAUUAUUACUUCACACUACGUUUUUGAAGUGUAGAGCAUACUGGAAUAGUAGAUUAUCAAAAUAUGGAGCAUACACAACGAGUGUCUUUUAAUCUCACUGAUUCAAAUGAAUUGGUUGAGUUCCAUAUGAAGGAGGUUCAUAAAUCGUGUCAAAUUUUCGGAGGUUUACUGUUGGUGAUUUUUGCACGUUUAUUUUGUCUCAUAAAUUCAAUAAUCCUUUAAAGAGUAACUCAAUCAUGAAUUAUUAAAAGUUAGCUUUUUUCAUUUUCAUUUGAACACUUUGCUGCAUCUUAGUUAUGAACUCUUAUUGAAAAGCAAAUCUUGAGUAUAUUCUCAUUUUUCAUAUGUUUUUUUUUUUUUUUUUGUAGUUGCUUUUACACAUGUGUUCCUUGUUUACAGAUGUAUACCAACAUCCACAUACAUAAAUAAGAAUAAAUUGUGUAGUCGUGUAUGAAAAAAACAAUGAAAUUAUUAUAUAAGUCAUUGAAAAUAAAUUGUUGAUUUUCAACAACUUGAGUAUGUAAUGUAUCAUAUACAUAUAUUAAAACUUAUAUUUUAUUAUAAGAAUUUAGAAUAAAAAUAUUAAAAAAAAAUAAUUAAAUUAUAGAGUUGUUUGAAAUACUUGCUAAUUAAGAUGUUUUAUAAAGUUAAAAAAAAAUGGAAUUAAAAUUAAAUAUUCUAUUGUACAAAUAAUAUAUCAAUAAGUGUGAUUUGAAUUGUUAAUUUUAAAGUUGGCUCUAUAUAGAAAUGUGCAUCAUUUUUUAAAAUCAAUUGUGCAUUUAUUCAUAUUGGAUAAAAUAUUAUAUAUAUAUAUAUAUAUAUAUAUAUAUAUGUGUGUGUGUGUGUGUGUGUGUGUGUGUAUUUUUUUUGUUCAUUUGUUUAUUUGUUUAUUUUGUUUUGUUUGGUAUAGCACCAACUCACAUCCUAAAAAUCUUUUUGUAGAGCACUAGAUGUGCUAAGAAAAAUAGUUCUUAUAGACUACCUUGAUUCCUCUUUAAAAUAUUUAUUUUUAGAAAUGGUCAAUCUUUGACUUAGCAAUUGUAAAUUAAGCUUUUAUAUCUUUUUCAUGGCCAAUAACAUAGGUUUCAAUUAGUUUGUGUAUUAUAUAUAAUUAUUGGAGCUUAGAAGGUCUUUAUUAUUAAAGAAUAAGAUGAGAAGGAAUGCAUUGAUUUUCUUACAUUGCAUAAAAAAUUAUUUUUAUAAUAUAUAUAUAAAAAAAUAAAUAUAUCCAUUUUGAAAGAUAGUUUUUAAAAAAAUAUUAAAAAAUUGUAUCAAAAGGUAUUGAAAAUAAUGUCAAAAAACUAGACAAGAAAACUAAAGUCUCUUGAAAUAAGAUUUAGAAAAAAAAAAGGCAUUGACAAGAAAAAAUAAGUGUCAAGGACAAGAAUUCAAUGAAAGCAAUUAAAGAAGUGAGACUUUUUUGAAAGAAAGAUUUAUUGAAAGAAAUUAGAAAUAAGAAAGUACGUAUAUUCAAAAAGAAACUAGAAUGGCUAUUGCCAAAAGAUAAGAAAACUAUAAUACCUUCAAAUUAGACUAAAAGCAAUAAAAGAGUUGACAAAGGUCAAGAAGGCUUCACUCUUGCUUUUAUAUAAACUACUAAUCUAAGAGUUAUAUAACAAUAUUCUAUAGGACCUCUAGUAUAUGGUUAAUUUAUAAGACACAUGUCUUAAUUUGUAAGGUAAGUUUCUUAUACGUACACCAUAUUAUUAACUUCUGUUGAAGAUUAGCAAGUUUUUACUUAAUUACGACCAUAUAAAGAUUAAGCAUAAUAAGUUGCUAAUAGUUAAAAGGCAGCAAAGGAUUAAUAGAAGUUACUAUGGUAGCGGCUAGGGUUUUAAGGUCGUGGCUAGCUUAAGAUGAAUCUAGAUGUAGAUCUAGAUUGAAAGGAUGAACGUGACUCUGAAUUUAGAUCUAAAUUUAGAUCUUGGUUUGCUCUUACUUGUGAUUAAAAGCAUUUUGGUGUUGGUAUUUUGUUUUUCCACCUAAGGGCAAAGUUUGCAUUGUGCUAUUGUUGAGAGAGAUCCUUAGUGAUAAAGCUUUAUAAUUUCAUGUCCUAAAGUUGCUGAUUGUGCUUUAUAGGCCUCUUAUGGUGUAUAGAGGUGAUUUGUGAGCAUAAAAGAGAUAUUAGAAUGGAAAAUUAGAUUUUAGAUACUUGGAUAGGUCAUUAGACUUGUGAGAAGUCUUAAAAGUGAAGUUGAGAGUAUUUUUGAAAGUUAAAACACUAAUUUUUUUACAAAGAAGGAUUCUAUGAUUCUAAGGCAACAAAACCUUCUUACUGAUUUUGAGAGCAUUAGGACUUCUUCUUACAAUCUUUUUUGAUAAAACUCUUCCUUAGACAUGGCUUCAAGUGAAGAUGAAGGAUUGAGAGUUAUUGAGAAGUUUAGAGGUGAGAAUUUCUACUAUUGGAAUGUAAAUUGGAGCUUUUGUUGGCAUCUUUGGAUCUUUGGGAUAUUGUAGAUGAAAGUGAAGAGGCUCCAAGAAAAGAUAUUGAUAUGAAAGAAAAAAAAGAGUUCAAACAUUAUAAAAAGAAGGUUUUUGGAUUGAUUACAAGCAAUGUGGAUGAAGCCAACUUCUUCCACAUUAUCUCUUGUAAAGAACCAGCAGAAGCAUGGAAGACUCUUUGCAACAUCUAUCAGAGUAAAAACUUAUCCAAAAUCAUCUAUACAAGGAAGAAGUUCUUUACUUAUAAGAUGGAAGAAGGUGAAGACCUCAUGGCUCAUGUCAAUAAGGUAAAGGCUCUUGUAAAUCAACUAGCAAUUGUUGACAAGCGUUUAGAAGAAAGUGAAAUUGUCAUGAUCUUACUAAUGAACCUUCUCAAAUCCUACAACUACUUCAUUGUGGCAUUGGAGUCCAUUAAGCUAAAAGAGCUUACAAUGGAUUAUGUGACAACAAGACCUGCCCAUGAAGUAACCAAAAAGAAAGAAAAUGAGCCCUUAAGUGAAGAUUCAACACUCUAUUCACGUUAAGGCAAGGGCAACUAUUCAAAUGAACGAGGUUAUAUCAAAUCUUGCUUUAUUUGUGGCAAAGUAAGUCAUUUUGCUCGAAAUUACUACAAAGGUAAAAAGAUGGAGAAAGAGAAUACAAAUAGUGUAUAAGAUGAGUUUGGAAGACAAGAUUAUGCAUUCAUGGCAACAAAUCGGACCUCUAUAGCUACCAUAUCAAGAUGGAUUUUGGAUUCAUGUUGUUCCAAGCAUAUGAUACCUUAUAAGUAUUCAUUUGAUACUUGUGAGGCUAUUUCAGCAUCAAACAUGGUGUUGGCAGAUAGUGGUAUAUGUGAAGCCAUUGGAAUUGGCUCUACUAUAGUAGAGGUGGUUGUAAAUGGACAAACCAAUAAGAUGAGACUCAAAAAUAUCCUUCAUGUGCCUAAAAUGAAGCAAAAUCUACUUUCAGUGAGUAAACUUGUAACGGAAGGUUUUAAAGUUCAAUUUGAUAUGAAUGGAUGUUUUGUAAGAACAUUGAGUGGAAACAAGGUCUUCAAAGGCUUAAAAGAGGGAAAUUUGUACUACCUCAUUUGUAAGAAGGUGAAUGGAGUGGAAGUAGCUGCAUUUGUUGAGUUUACUUCAAACCAAGAGAAGUUGAAUAUAUGGCAUCAUCGCCUUGGCCAUUUGAAUGUGAAGAGUAUGAAAGAGCUCAAGACUAUGGUAAGUGGCUUAAAUCUUGGCAAUACAAGCCAAAAUAUAAAACAACUUGCAUGUAAAGGAUGCAUACAAGACAAACAACAAAGGACCUCAUUUCCAAGGAGUGUAACAACACGUUGUUGUAUGGUGUGAUUUGAUAUCUAGGAAUAUACUAGGUAUCUAUCUAUAGAGAGUUUAGCUUAAACCUUUAUAUGAAUCUCGUCUUAGCUUCCAAAACUUCUUUAAUUUUGCAUAAAACUUAAAAUAUAACAAAAUCCCUUGAAAACAUAUUUUUCCCGUGAAGGAUUUUCUUGCCUCAAACUUUAGAAAUUCAUAACUUUGGAUCUAGCCAUUCAGUUUGUCUCAAAUUUAUAGAAUAGGUAGAAUUCACCCUUAAUUUUUAUCACAAAAAAAUCAACUAUAAAUUUAUUCCCGAUCUUUUGGCAUCUAAGAAACCCUAGUAGAUGCUCUAAAUCCUAACUUACAAGCACUUGAGCACUAUUUUUUUAAUAUCUUAAGAAUCCAAUACUCAAAUAUCAUCAAACUUAUGCAUAAAGUUUACCAACAUGAAAUUACACAAUUUUUAAAAUUUUGAACCAAAAUCUUGUCAAAUUACUCAAGAUAUAGCUCAAGACACAACCACUAGUAAGUUAGGUUACUUACUACCCUUAGAUUGCAUGUGCUGAGUUCAAAAUCUAAUAAUUCCUUCAUCCCAAUUUGAAAUCCAGUAAGCAGUAUACAAAAAGUAUAGCCGCAAAAGUACUCUCUCCAAUCGUAAUUGCCGAUCUUCAGUUGCCUUCCGUACGUGUGUAUUAUGUCAAAAAAUAAGUGACAGUAGCUUCCAAAUCAACACCUUAACUUUAAGUACCUAUAUCUCCUUCAUAUAAACUCCAAAUAAUAUAAGAUCUAUACUAAAACCAUAGCCAAAAACCUAAACUUGCUGAUCCUAGCCUUCAAAGCUUGAAUGGCCCUAUGAAACUAAUCCUAAUCUCUAAUAUGGCCUCAGGCAGCCUCCUCAAAGUCCAUUGGUCAUGAUUUUUGACCAAUAGGAAUGGAGAUUUUUAUCAUCCAUUUCCAUUCAUCUAUAUUGGUGCCCUAAUUACUCUCUUUACUACCAAAACCCUUUUUCAAUAUUUUUUCUUAUAAGAUUUACAUAAUUUAUACUCUAAAUAUCAAAUAAAGAACCAAAAUAAGUUUUCAAUUGUCACCAACGUCUAACAAAGAUGACUCUAAAUAUUUAGAAGUUACUAUCAACCAAAACCAAUAUUAAAAUCCACUAUCAAAAAAGAAAUUAAAGUUAUACAAAUUCUAUAGUAAUCUUUUUAAACAACCUCUUUUCAAGGUAUUAAUCAAAUUAUAUUCUACAACCAACUAAAAUCUACUAACACGACUCUCACCAUGUUACUUAGUAAAUUAUAUAUUAAGUAUAUAGUUACAUUAUUUUUAUAUAGUAGCCAAAUCACAACAGGACAACGUGCUAUCAAGUUGCUGGAGAUUAUCUAUUCGUAUGUAUGUGGACUUAUGAAAAAUAUAAGUAUUAAAGGAUCAAGGUAUUUUCUCAUUUUCAUUGAUGAUUAUUCAAGAAAGAUUUGGAUCUCCAUUCUUAAAGCCAAGAGUGAAUACUUUUGGAGGUUUAAGGAGUUUAAAGCACUUGUUGAAAAAUAAAGUGAAUGCAAGAUUGAGAUGUUGUGUACGGACAAUGGAGAUGAGUACAUGUCUACAAAAUUUGAUGUUUAUUUGAAGAAUGUAGGAAUUACUAGACAAACCAAAAUCCCACAUACUCCAAAACAAAAUAGUGUUGCUGAAAGGGCAAAUCGAACCAUUAUAGAGAUGGCAAGGAACAUGCUUCAUACUCAAAUCCUUGGCUAUGAGUUUUGGACGGAAGCUGUGGUGAAUGUAGUAUAUAUAAGAAAUAGGUGUCCAACAAGUGCUCUUAUAUUAAUGACACUAUAAGAAGCUUGGAGUAGGAGAAAACCUUAAAUUUUCUAUAUGAAGACCUUUGAUUGCAUUACAUAUGUAAAAACAUCAAAUUGUAUGAGGUCCAAAUUUGAUGCGAAAGGUAUAGAGGCAUAUUUCUUGGUUAUUGUAAAGGUACUAAGGCAUAUAGGCUUAUGUAUUUGAAAACCAAGAAAAUCAUCAAAAAUUAUGAUGUUGAGUUUUUAGAGCAUAAGAGUACUUGUGAGUACUUAGAGAUGUGUACAAGUAGGAGUAAUGAUGUGUUUGUGGAUACAUCUUUGAAUUCAGUAAAGAAACAAAAAGAUGAAGACAAUGAAGAUGAUGAAGAUGAAAAGCCAAAGAAGGUUGAAAAGAUGAAGGCUCUUACAGUUGAUAGGACCAGCAAUGAAGAUAUUGAAGAUUGAGAUGAUGACAAUGAUGAAGAGUACCAAGCAUUGAAUGAGAAACGACAAGGUUUAAGAGAGAAGAAGGUUGGAAAAGAACAAGGAGUGCAACAAGGUGAAUGUUCUUCUACAAGUGAAAGGAGAUAUCCUUUGAGAGAAAGAAGGCAACGUGGCGAAUGGUGGAAGGAUUACCUCUUCUCUCAAAUAAGUAAAGAACAUACAAAUGUUGAUUUUUUUGUUGAUCAAUUAUCUUUGUGUGAUGCUAUCAAGUGUGAAGAUACAAUCAAGUAGAAGAAGGCUAUCGAAGAAGAGUACCAAUCUCUUAUGGACAAUGGUACAUGGGAAUUGGCAUCUCUUCCAGCAAAUUGAUCUAAUAUUCAUUGUAAGUAGGUAUUUAGGACUAAAAGAGAUGCAAUGGAUGUGGUGGUGAGGCAUAAGGCAAGAUUAUUUGCAAAAGAGUACUCACAAGUUGUUAGAAUUGAUUUCAAUGAGACUUAUGCAUAUAUUACCAAAUUCACCACCAUUAAGACCAUUGUAGCAAUUGGGGUAGCAAUGGAUAUGGAAAUACACCAAAUGGAUGUAAAGACGGCCUUUUUCAAUGGAGAAUUGUAAGAAGACAUCUACAUGGAUCAACUUCAAGGAUUUGAACAAAAAGAAAGAGAACAUCUUGUGUGCAAAUUGAAGAAAUCCUUGUAGGGAUUGAAACAAUCACUAAGGGCAUAGUACCAAUGAAUUGACACCUUCUUUAUCAAUGAAGGAUUUGUGAGGAGUGAGGCUGAGCAUUCAUUGUAUGUGAUGUAAUAUAGAGAGUUCUUGCUGAUUGUAAUCCUUUAUGUUGAUGAUUUGAUCAUCUUGGCUAACAAUAUGGAAAAGAUGGAUUGGAUGAAAGUCAAAUUAGAGAAAGAAUAUGAGAUGAGUGAUUUGAGAGAGUUGCACUAUUGCUUGGGAGUAGAAUUUGUAAGAGAUUGUGGUAAGAAGGCCAUUACAAUGAGCCAAACCAAGUACAUUGAAGAAGUGUUGAAACGAUUCAACAUGAUGAAGUGCAAGCCCAUUGGAACACCUUUGGAGGUAAAUUUGAAGUUGAUGAAGCUCACGGAUGAGGAGUUUACAUAAAUUAAAGGUGAAAUAUAAAGUGUUCUAUAUAAGGUACUAAUAGGCUCACUCAUGUAUGCAAUGGUGGCCAUAAGAGUGGAUCUUGCAUAUGCGGUAAGUAUUGUAAGCCAACACAUGUCUAAAGCUAGACUAAUGUAUUGAAAAACGGUAAAGAUGAUAUUGAAGUACUUAAAAGAUAUCAAAGACUUUAAAUUAUGCUUUAGUGGUAAGAACAUUGAUUUGCAAGGUUAUUGUUAUGCAGAUUGGGCUGGAGAUGCAAAUGAUAGAAGAUCUACAAGGAGAUACGUCUUUUUUAACAUCAUUGAUAUUUAACAUCAUUUCAUAUGAGAGAAGAUUGAAGAUGGAGUAAUGGAUAUGAAAUAUUGUGCUACAAAUGACAUGCUUGCUGAUGUGCUUACACAGGCAUUAGUAAAGGAUAGACAUCAUAACUUGAUUCAAAGAAUAGGAUUAAAAGCCUUUUGAAAAUUAGCAAAGUGGGAGUAUUGAAGAUCAGCAAGUUUUUAUGUAGUUACUACCAUAUAAAUAUUAAGCAUAGUAAGUUGUUAAUAGUCAAAAGGUAGCAAAGGAUUAAUAGAAGUUACUAUGGUGACAACUAGGAUUAUAAGGUGGCGGCUAGAUUAAGAUGAAUCUAAAUGUAGAUCUAGAUUGAAAGGAUGAACGUUACUCUGAAUGAGAUCUAUGUACUUGAGAUGUAAACUCCACCUAUAAAUAAAGAGUGUUAGAAGUAAGAGAUAUCUUUCUCUAUACUUCUCUUAGACUACAAUCUUUACUGAUGCUAAGUAUUUGUAGCUUUUAGACUUCUUUUCUUCAAUAACUUCUACCAUAAGCUACCAAAAAAUGUAAGAUGUGACUAUUUUAUUGGCUAAGUUUUUAACCUUUAAAUCACUUAUAAAUACAUGUUGAAAUGAAAUUGAACUCUCUCUAAAAUCUAAAACUCUUUUAGUCUAUAACAACAUAAUUUCUAUUACAAAGUAGGAUAAAAUGGACCAAAAUAAAAUUGAAUACGAUUAAAAAAAAUAAUACAUGAAAGAAGAACGAGAGCAAAAAAGAAUAGAAUAGAACUAAACAAGAAAUACAAAUCAAAUUUUACUAAGAGAAAGGAACCAAAGCCAUACUUGAUCAAAUGCUCUAAGUAGCCUUGAUCAGUCCUCUUUAUACUUUGUCCAACCAACUUGGAAUCUUAUAAAAUGUCUUUAAUGGUAGAUCCUAUCAAGAUAAUUAUCCUUUUAGAAGAUUUUAGUAGUAGGUCCUGUCUAAAUAACUGCCCUAAAUUCUUCUAGAAUGUUCUAUAGUAGAUCCUACAUAGAUAUGUACAAUUAUCUUAUCUAUGUCUAAUUAUAAUUUAUUCUCCUUAACGAAUGUGGAACGUCCUCAUUUCAUUUAUGAUGGUAACUCUAGAUUAUUUUUUAAUAAUAAAUGAGGUUUUGUAUAGGUUCCUAUGUUAUAUUGUAGAUAGAAUAAUCUUUCUAGAGGACUUUAUAUUGAAGUUGCAGACAACUAUCACCGCAACAAAGGUAGUGACACUCCAAAAUACUAUCUACCUCAUACUCUUGUUGGUCAUCAAUCACAAGUAGCAGUGUCGUAUUACGUGCUUUUCUACUCGAGAAUGCACCGAACGUCUGGCUGUAGGAGGUAGUAUAGAAAUUCGCUAAUAUUCAAGCAAUCUAUCAAUUUUUGACUAUUGGAAUAUAAACGAUCGCAAGAAUAUAUCAUAAAUCUAUAUGGAUGUCCUUUGACUGCUCGCCAAAAUCCAUUUAUGUCCCAGCCGGUAGGUCUCUAGACGUUACAAAGAACCCCGAACAACCUAAUUUGAUAAUCUUCGAUACCGCUUUAUACUCACGACCUUUUAUCCACUGACUGUCUUGUUAGAUUAACCCAAAAAUCUUCAUUCACUCUACAUACUCAAUCCUAUAGACACCCUUUUAAUUCUUCAAUCACAGACGUAACUUUGAUUUCACAAAACAGUUAAGAGUAAUCACACCUACUUUAUUAAAACUCCGAUUCACUAGUACAAAACAUUGACUUUCCAGCAUUGAUCGCCAGAAAUCUCUGUUCUGACCCUAUCCAAAAACCUUGUAUCUUCUCUUUUUCUUAACCUCUCUAAUCUUCGAAUCUCUGAAUCCUCUCUUCCUCCCUAAGCAUUUCCGAAUGUUUUCUCUCCUAUAUAUUCUUUCAAACUCUAGCCUUUGAAUUUCUUCAAUCUUCCAUCUUGGAUCUACAAUUGGCUCUGCUGUCAAAGCUUUCUCUUCUAUUUUUUGCCUUUUAAAAGGUUCUCUUUUCGAAAACAAUGUUCCUUGAAAUGACACAAAAAAUAGGACAGCCUGAAACGGAAUCAAAACCCCCGUAAUUGGGACCACAUUGAGUUGCCCAACCAAAUCAAGUCUCAUAUUGGCUAAGAGGCCCGUAAUAAGACCUGGAUGUUCCCGUAAUUGGAUCAAAUUGGUCCUUCGCGUCAGGCUCGGUCAAUCAUCAAUUUAGUCCUUUUGAUUCUGUUGAUUCUCACUAUUGGACUCGAAUGGAACAUUUUGUUACUGGUAAGUAUGUCCUGACCGAUUGUGACGGGGUGUUUGAAACUGGCCCCUGAAUAUUGGCACUGGAAUCGGUCGUUGCUUUCAAUAUUCGAGGUAACUAAACAUUAAUAAAAGUCCCCUUUCUUUAUAUUGUCAUAGUAUACUCAUCUUACAACACGACAUCCACCCCCACUGAACCUGUGCAUCUUCCGGUAUGCACCAAUUUAUCCAAUUGUUGUUUGAUUUAUAAUAUAUUCUCUAUGUCUUUGUUCAGUUCGACUUCAUCACCUUCAUUAUCUAAAUCAUUGUCAUCUUCUUGCUGCGGAAUCUCUAUACCUUCAUUAAGGUCUUCCAUAUUCAUCUUCGUGUGUCUUCGUUUAAAUAUUUUUACUCGCUUCCCUGCAAUUGGUAUUUUUAAUUUUGUACCAUCUAACUCCCGUAACGAGUAAGUCGCAUUAUCAUGAAUAGUUGUUACUACAUAUGGUCCAAACCAAUGUUUUAAAAAUUUCUGCAAAGUACUAUGUUGAUUAUCCAAACUAUUGUCAUAAACAAGUAUCUAGUCACCUUCCUCGAUUGCUUUAGGUCUCAAUCGAUGUUGCUUAUCAAAUCGUGCCUUGUUUUGUAACCUUGUUCUUUUUAGCCUUUCCAAUGGUGUCUGCACAUCUUUUGAUCUUUAACAUAAUUGUCGAAUCCUAAUAAUCAGAAGUUCUUCCCUUGUCAAUCCAUCUUCCCAUAGUAGCAUAUCCUAGGUAAGUACCUUUUCUUCAAUCGGCAUAAUUGAUUUUUGACCUGACAUAAGUUCCAUUGGCAUAUAUCCUGUCACCUAACUGUGUGUUGUUUUAUCAGCCCAUAAUGCAAACGGCAAAAGUCGUGGCCACUCUCUAAUCUUCCCAUUACAAGCUUAAACCAAUGCUUUCACAAUCGGUGGGUGACCACGUUCACUUUUUACAUUUCUUUCCAAAUUAUAAGCAAUAGUCAACGAUAGUCUAAUUUCACAUCUGUCAAAGAAUUUACAUGCUUCUUGUGCAUUUAAUUCUCCUCGAUCUGCAGUGAUUUUUCCUACACAUUUGUAACGACAAAUAACAUCUUCAAGCAAAAACCUACAAAUUCCUUUUGUAGAUUUCGUUCUCAAUGCUCUUCCUUCCACUUGAUUUGAUAAGUCUUCACGAGCUAAGACCAAAUAUCUCAUUUGUCAUAAUCCGAUUGGCAUAAUAACCAAAUCAACAAUCCAUUUAAAAUGAAUUGUCAGAGGAUACGUAGGAUGAAGACCAUCUUGAUGUCGGAUAUAAAAAUAUGAUUGACAGAUUUCACAUGACUCUACAAAUGAGAGUACAUCUCAAUACAUAUUUUUCCACCAAUACCGUUCCUUGAGUUUGGCAAAAGUAGCCCAAAUUCCUCUAUGCCCUGUCCAUAAUCUAUCGUGAAACUCUUUUAAUAAUUUUAAUUUUUCUUCCUUUUUGCCUAUCAUGUGUUGAGGCAACCCAAUUCCUUUCUUCGGUCUUUUUUAUAAGAAUCCUUCUUGAAGCAAAAAUCCAUAUGCUUUUUUUCUUACUUGUUUGAAUUUCUCCGUAGACCAAUUUUCUUGCUUAGUCAAGGUACUCAAGUAAUGACCAAUAUCCAAUAGUUCACCUUCAUAAGAUUCUUCAAGAAAUAGCUUUUCUUCCCUGUUCAGAUUUGAUAUCGAAUAAAUUUUCAAUCCGACGUCAUCAAUGUCUUCAACCAUUUUGUCUUCCUUUUCGUAUCUUGCUCAAGAUAGCAUAUCUACUACUAAAUUGUCCUUGCCGGUGACAUGUUUAAAUUUUGGAUUUAAUGACUUAAUACAAGAAAUCCAUCUCAACAUUGCAAUAUCUGGCGUUGAACAGUUAGUAUUCAUUCCAAGCAAUGGCAAGUAAUCUGUUUCAAUUACUACUACUGUCCUAAUCAAAUAGUCCCUUUCAGCUUUCAUAGCCGAAACAACCCCCCAAAGUUCUCUUUUGACUUGCAAAUAUGCACGCUCACGAAUACUUAAAACUUUAGCUCCAAAUCGAACUACAAAUCUAUUCCGACUUGAAUCAUCUUGACCCACAGUCCAUCCAAUGGCAAUUGAACUAGUGUCCACAGUAAGAAUCACUGGUCUAUUACACUUAUAAUCAACCUUCCUCAAUAUUGGAGGUAACAUCAAUAAUUUCUUCAAUCUUUGCAUUGCCUGAAUAUGCCUUUUUUUCUAUUUAAAUCGGUAGCCUUUGCGUAAUAAGUCAUAUAAUGGAUCCGCUAUGUGAGCAUAAUGAGGGAUCCAGAUUCGAUAAAAUACACAUGCACCUAAAAAUCUGCGAAUCUCUGUUAAAGAAUCACAAUCCUCUUUCAUCCUUUCAAUUGCAUCAAUUGUAGUCGGAUUUGGUUUUCUUCCGUAAGAUCCACAUAAAUGUCCAAUAAUCACAACCUCUUGUACUCAAAAUAUGGACUUCAUACCCGAUAAUGUAAGAUGGACUUCUCCAAGCCGAGUUAAAAUCUUUUCACAAUCUUGUAUAUGAUCAACAACAUAUUUGUGACACCCCCUCUUAUCUAAAGUUUCAUCCUUGUCUCCUUCUCUACAUCCUUUUAUACAAACAUCAUCUAGAAAAGUCAUAGUCUUCUCCAGAAUAAAAUCUCUCAAUACCUUAUUCAUCCCAUUCAUUAUAUGCACAACUGAGUUGGUUGCGCCUUGAGGAAGAGUGCACAUUCUAACCAAUCCAAGUGGUGUCCUCAUUAUUCUCAUAUCUUUUCUUCCUUCGGCAAGUUGAAAUUGAUCAUAACCUCAAUACAAGUCAUCCAUUGAAUAGAUCGCCCUUCUUGCAAACACCUCAGCAAAUUUGUCCACAAUAGGUCCAAUUCCUGCAUUCUUGAUAGUUACUGCAUUCAUCGGUUGCAUAUCUUGAAUAAAACGUAGUGACCCAUUCUUCUUAGGUACCGUAAACUAUCGACGAGAAUAUGGCACAAAUGAAGGUUCCAAUAUUUUCAUCUUUAUCUUUUCUUUUAAUAGUUCCACCAAUUUCGAUAAAUAUGCCCUCGGUACUAGAAUCGGUCUUAGAUUCCAAGGUACAUGCAGUACAGUGAAGAUCACCAUAGGUGUUACAAUAUUUGGAUCCACACACCCAAUUUCAUAAGAUUCGAAGGCAAAUGAUCUACCUUGUUUAGCCAACAUCUUUUUGAAGCAAGUAAUUUCUUCCGGCAAUAAAGAACCAUCAUAACCAAUCUUCAAUUCUUCAAAAGUCUCUUUAGUAAACUGAUGUCCAAUAUUCAUUGGAUCUCUUAAACUUGCUUCUUUUGAUGCUUCUCCCAUUUGUUCCUUAGAAUCUUCUAGUAAUGACACGGCAGCAAGCUUUAUCUUCUUAUCUACCAUUUUAUAUCUCGUCUCUACAAUGACUUCUGGUACUUGAAAAGAUUCAAAUAUGGUAUAAAGCUCUCUUGAAUGAAUCUCAACAAUCUUAUCAUUAUCUCCUAACCCAAUAGAUGUAAUCAAUUCCAAUGAAUCUUCCAUUCCAUUUUCUUCAUAAACACCUAAAAUCCUCUCAUCAUCUUGCAAUGUACCUAACUUGCGUAAUCCUCCUUCAAUAUUAUAUAAUCUUUUUCUUUCUUUUCUUUUAAAAUCAUCAAAUUUUUUAUACAUAAUAUUUCCAUUCUCCAAAAUACCAAUAAAACUCGCAUCAAAGGCACCUUCAUCCCGAAAAAGUACCUCCGCUUUUAUACCUCCAUAAUCUCGCCUUAUAGUAGUACCUCCUCAAAAUCCUUAAAUCCUUCAACAAUCUUUGGCAAUGGUUUCUUCCUUAACCUGUCUCGAUUCCGUUCAUGGUUAGAAGGUACUGUUAGAAAUUGUACACCUUUCCUCCCAUCUUUGCUACGUGCCCUUGAAUAAGCAAAACCAUCAUCAAGUAC